UCACACACACACAAAACAAAACAAAUGGUGAAUCUCCGACAGCGGGACACAAUGCUUCAUCCUGCCCAAUCCAUUAACCCCGAACACCAAGCUGCUCCCACACUGACGGCAGAGAGCGCCGAUAGAGAGAGGAUUAAAAAAGGUGCAGUGGAUGGAGAGAAGGGAAAACAAGGACUGUAUGUGGAAGAAGAGAUAAGGAGGCGUGCAGGAAAGAGGAUGGAAGAAGACGGGUUUUGACACAUCUUUGUUGACAUCUCGGUGCAUCCCGAUGCCAACAUGAGGAUCCUCACAAUGCAAGGACGAAUGUGUUGACCGUGUCACGAAGAGACGUCGGCCGUGAUGAAUCGCCCCGAGUGACACAUUGAAAUUCUCCCGCUGCCACAGACGGAGGAGGAAUGUGAUGAAUGCGCCUUCGUGUCGCAGACGUAAGUGCUCCCAUAGAUUACUGCAACACAUCGGACGCCACCUGACACAAAUGUGUUUCGAUGACGGCUCAUCUUUCUUCCCAACUCAUCGCUGUGUUUCUAUUUUGUUUUGUUUUUUUUCCCCUUUCCUCAAUAUGCCGAGGACCUUUUGGACAAAUAGGUUCAAAAUAUCAUCCAAUCACAGCCGGGUUUGGAGACAGAAGAUGGAGCGGCGGAGAGUUCUGAGUUCUUCGGCCAGAGAGCAAAGAUCCACCAGGGUUCAUAAAACACACGUUGUAUUAACGAAGACGUCCCUCGGCAUCAAACGCAGCCAUCUGACUCCGCCUGUUGUCGUAACAACAGCAUCAGGGCGGUAACAGCUCUUCCUCACCACAUCAAAACAGGAGAUGCAUGCAGAGAACGUCCGACAGGAGACGUCCACGUCUCGACUUGUCAGCGGAGAAUCCCUGAGGAACAUUUGUUCACACUCAUCGGUCGAAAAUAAAUAGAACCACCCGCCUGAUCGCUGUGAGAGCGGUAUGAUGAGCAUCUUGUAGCUCAUGUUCAUCCCUCCUCACCGCUCCAGAAGCUUCGUCCUCUGUCUGCAGCUGGGAGCGAUUUAACCGACAUCCAUCCUGUGAUGGAGUAACGAGGGUGAUACAGGAUCGUGACACCCGGUGACCUCAGCUAAAGACCUGACCGGAAACUCAGACGCAGAGAGGAGAAGCUUUCAGUCACCGUCAGGGUCAAACUUUUUUGUAAAGUCGCUGUUAGUAACGACCAGCUGGUGAACACAGAGGAGCUGCUGAAGAACCAGAUAUUUCCCUCAGGAGCUGGUGGAGACCAAAUCAGAGCUAACAGGCAACUUUCAUUCAUCGUGUGAGUUAAUGAUGCUAAUGCUGCUUUUUGUCUGUUGGAUGUAAACAGACAGUUAACACACGAGCCACAACAACUCCACAAACUUCAACGUCCAAACAUCCAUGAAAAUAAUCGAACAGUUCAACAGUUUUUCUUACAAAUUACAGACUAAUUAGAUGAUUAUCUAGGACCAAGUCUGGCAAAACAUUAGCAUAGUUAUGUCCGACUGCAAACCAAAGACUUUUAGACUCACAAAAUGGUCGACAUCUGAUCCUUUUUGACAUAAAUCAUAAAUACUCGCUGCAGGAUUAAAAGCAACACAACCUGCUGACAAACAGAAAUGUAGAGAUGAUUUUAUGCUGCUGGAACUAAACCGAGUUCUCUUGAUCGAGAAAAGACCAAACAACAAGUGAAAACCAGAGCUCGGUGCUGGAGAACCUGUUUAUAAGAGAGCAGAAGGAUGUUUUCACAACAUCACUGAUUCAUAAGCAGCUGUGGUUCUGUGGUUCUGUGGUGUCGAGCCUCCGGGCUGAAAGGAGACGCUGUUAUUAAUCUGCAGCGAGCACACAGAAGCUGCAAACAAGCAACAACCUGAACACUUUGUUUAAGACGACACCUGCGUGCGGCUGACGUACGUUUAAUUAAGUCAUUCGUGAACAAAACUGUCAGCAGCUUCAAAAAUCAAAUGAAUCCAAACAGAUUGAGAGAUAAUCACGAGACGAGGCGAUGAGGUCGUCAGCCGGCGUCUCAGAUCGUGUGACCUGAUGAAUAUUUGAUCUGACAUCACCUGCGUUUGUUUACACGGCACUAACGAUGUUUCACUGACUGUGAUCUCUCUCUCUCUCUCCACGUCGUCGUCUGGGACGCAGCGUUUCUCUUCACUGGAUUUUGUUUGUUGUGGCGAGAGACGGGGAUCGAGGUCAGAGCGCAAUCUGCUGAAUACAAAACUGAAUCCAUGAUUCAUUACACGUCUGUGUGUUUCAGUGCGUGACACGGGGCGGGAGAUAAUGAAACCCCGACCUGUUUUAUUGGUUUAUUACGCUGCCGUCCAUCUCCCGCUUAUUAGCAUAACAUCAUCUGAUUCUUUUUCAUAUCACACACCAGUUUCUCUCACAACAAAUUACUUUGUCAGAGUCCAAAUGACUCAGAGGACUGUAUUUGCAGGAUUAUAAAGUGAUGAGGGCGAUGACAGGAAAGGCUGCUUCCUGUCCAGACGGCGAGGACGGGGUGCUGAUGUGGAACACGGGCCCGGGGCACAUCCCCGCCUCCCCGCACGCCGCCCAUUAUCUCCCAUAGGGUACAAAGCAGCCCCGCUAUGGCGAGCAUUUCCUGCUUCCUCUCCCGGCGGCGCGGCCAGGUACGUGUACGAGGCAGCAACAUGACUUCCCACUGCAGCCACAGCUGGAGGACGGAGGACGGAGCGGAGCGUCUCGCUGGGUCGUGGCCUCGGCAUUUAGUAGGCAGGAAGCUUCGUUAAAGAACAAAGCUGCUCUGUGUUUUUGAAGUUACAGGAGCGCGCUCAGCGAGGGCGUGAAGUUCUGGGAAGAAUAAAAAAAAAUAAAAUGUA